UUAGGUGGAAUUGUAACAUGGAUUCUGAGCAACUAGGUCAAGAAUGUAGACUUCAGAAAUGACAGUGCCAAAUAGACUCCCUCAAGUUCUUAUGAAUCUAUUGAAGUUGAGGUUUCACUGGUCCUCAAGCCAUCCUUCUUUCUGCCCAUCCUCCAGUAUCGUAUGUUUGGCCUUCAGAGAGAAUCACGGUAAAACCUCCAACCCUCAAUUCUAGCAAUGGGAACACAGGAAAGUAGAUAGUGUAGUACUGCUAUCAAAUAGGACUAGAGAACUGAAUUCUAUAGUCAUUAUGUCAUUUGCUUUGCUGAAAAUGGAAUUGGAAACAGAAUUUUUGAGUAUACAUACAGGAAUAUUAAUAAAGUCUCAUCGUGGAAUGUACAAUGAGAAAGUGAAAUACAAUAUUCAUUCAAUUAAGGUCUGUAGGCAAAAUAUUGUCCUUUGGGAUAUAGAGAAAACCUGGGAUAUUGAACUGUAUGUAUGUCACAGGAAUGAACCUGGGAAAAAAAUAUUAUCUACAAGAGUCUCCUCCACUCUAUGUUGCUAAAUCUUUUCUAGCCAUGCUAAGCCCCUAACUUUGUCCAUUCAGAGCAAGUAACCCCUAAUGAAACAAAGAGAAAUCUCUACCUUUAGAGAGAUGUAGUGUGUAAAGGUUUCCACACUUAAACAGGAGAUUCUCCUGAAAGUGUCACCCUCAAAUUUGGUCAAUGUAAGGAAAGCUGUUUAGCAGGUAGACCAUGGCGGUUUUCAGUGACAUCAUCAUUAGGCCUCCCUGAAAUAUCUCUUGUUUCCUGGAAAGCCUUAGCUUCUUCUGUGAUGUCACAAGUGUCCUGACUGCAACCGCCUCUCAGAUAUCCCUUCAGGAACUCUAGGGUUCACUAAUUGGCCUUUAAUGCAUUGUAUACAGCCAUUUGAGAGGGAGAACACAGAGGAUGAAGUGAUCAGACAUGGGGAAUAUGAAGCUGGCCUUCUGUCUUGUGACAUCCAUGCUGAACCCCAUCACGUAUACCUUAAUGAACCAAGAAGUCAAGGCAGCACUGAGAAGAACUCUGGAUCUGAUGAAAGUUCUCAUAAUAAGAAGACAGCAGUCUAGCAUGGCUUCCCUCUGUGAGAUUCCACUAAGCUGCUGACUCAGACAGAAGCAGGCAUCAUCUAGUCAAACCACGGUGGAGCUUGGGGACUCUGAUGGAAGAAGAGAAUGAAAAGGAUUAUGGCCUCUAAGGAUAUAGGCACUCCACAGGCUUUGUCAUCAUGCAGGUACCGAACAGCUAGUAUUGGGCCUUCCCAAAACAUGUUGUCUGUAGAUGGGAUAUCUGUUUUUAAAAUUCUUUAUUUAUUUACUCACUUUACAUCCCAAAAUGGGUAGUCCAUCUUCAUGGGAUGCCAACACUCAUUGUCCGGGGCACUUGUAAAAAGACAAAGCUACACAUUUGCUACCUAUGUCCUGGGAGCUCAGGUUCAGUCUAUGUUCACUCUCUGGUCGGUGGUUCAGUCUUUGGCAGACCCCAAGUGUCACUGUGAGUUGACUCGACUGGUCUUGCUGUGGAGUCCCACAUAUCAUCUGGGCCUUGAUUCUUCACCUUAUUUUUUAAAGACUCCCCAAGCUCCAGCUCUUGUUUUGUGGUGAAUCUUUACACUUAUUUCUCUCAGCUGUUGGGUGGAGUCAUAGAGAGGUCAAUUAUGCUAGGAUUGUGUCUGCAAGCACGGUAGAGUAUCUUUAAUAGUGUCAGGUAUCGGUGAUUG